AUGACACGAAAUGCUCCUUUUCUCUUCCUCCUCAUAGGUGCAGUGAAAGGGAACAUGUGCUCUCACAGAUGGAAAUCACUGCCUCCUGAAACAACACGCAGCACUAAAUACUCAGGGGCAAAACAGCAAAGCAGCAGGAACAAAGAGCAUUUUGAAAACCAACUUGGUUUUGUCUCGGCUUUUUGGAGGCAGGUCUGUGACAGGGAGACAUCUCCCCUGGGAUGUGUGGUGCCUUUCUUGCGGCGAGCAGCGCAGUCGGGCAGCUCGCCAGCCCUGCUCCUGCUGGGCAGUGCUGCUUUGAGUGCCACACAGCAUCUCUCCCCUCCUCCAGCCCCCACAGCCUCGCACCGCACUCGGCUUGGUUUCUGACCAUCAAGGCAGAGCUCAACAGACUCUGCUUUCAUCUCUGCCCGAGACAUUUGCCGCAUCAGGUUGUCACCAGCAUCGCGGGCCCCCUGUUUAUCUAGACCGGCCCAGGAGGCAACUUUGCUCACCGAAUACAUAAUUCAUCCAGCACCCCUCCUGCUCCUCGCAGAGAGCCACGGGGGUGAAAUCACCAACUGAGGAGAGGAGAUUAGGGCUGGGGGAAGAUUACAGCUCCCUCCUCGUAUAUCAGGCAAUUAAAUCGCCUCGGCUCUGCUCCGUUGUUUUCAGAAGCUGCUACCAGCAGCUCCGGCGGCUGGCAGGGUGCAAGGGAGCGCUGGGAGGCUGCACGUGGGCUGUGCUUUGGAAGGGGUUUAAAUUAAACCAUCUGGCAGGGCUGGUACCCAGGGCUGUGGCCUCUGUCUGCUGGUUAGUGAUUCAGGGAGCAGAAAGCAGCCCGUGCACACCCUGCAGAAAAUAGCCGUUUUCCCAGGCAGCUCCUGGAGGUGAAGGUUUUCUCCCCAAAACGCCUUGGACACACCAAAAAGUUUGUCCAAGACAGGAGACAGGUGCUCACUGAACCUCUAGGACAGCAGGGAAUUGCUCUUUUCCAGCUCCCAGGCUGGCAUGAGCCUUUGGAAGAAGUGGAAGGGCACAGUAGGUGACCACAGUCCAUGGGCAGAGUUCCUUGGGAGAAGGAAAACACGUUAGGAGAGGGAAUUAAAAUAAUGAGCACAUUUGUGAGAAUCUGCCCGAGGGAAAAUAGUUUAGAAAAUUAAAAACUCCAUAGUAACAGACCGAAAGCUGUUAACCAACAUCUAAUUAAACAAAAACUGCAAGCCCUACAACAAAACACAAAAAGGAGGGGAAAAAAAUAUAAAUCCAUGCAGCAACCAAGCUUACCCAGACCAAAACAAGUACUAAGGAAAUAAAAAUGAAAAAUAAACCA
rnacentral:lncRNA from 1 species